CCUACGGGAGGCAGCAGUGAGGAAUAUUGGUCAAUGGCCGGAAGGCUGAACCAGCCAAGCCGCGUGAGGGAGGAAGGCGCAGAGCGUCGCAGACCUCUUUUGCCGGGGGACAAAAGGCCGGACUCGUCCGGUCCUGAGGGUACCCGGAGAAAAAGCAUCGGCUAACUCCGUGCCAGCAGCCGCGGUAAUACGGGGGAUGCGAGCGUUAUCCGGCUUCAUUGGGUUUAAAGGGUGCUCAGGGGGGCCUUUAAGCUGGCGGGAAAAUCGCGGGGGCCAACCCCGCCGAGCAGUUGAAACUGGGGGCCUUGAGUGCGGCGGAGGCAUGCGGAAUGCGCGGUGUAGCGGUGAAAUGCAUAGAUAUCGCGAAGAACACCGGUGGCGAAGGCGGCGUGCCGUGCCGCCACUGACGCUGAGGCACGAAAGCGCGGGGAUCGAACAGGAUUAGAUACCCCUGUAGUC
rnacentral:rRNA from 1 species